GAUGAAGAACGCAGUGAAAUGCGAUAAGUAAUGUGAAUUGCAGAAUUCAGUGAAUCAUCGAAUCUUUGAACGCACAUUGCGCCCGCCAGUAUUCUGGCGGGCAUGCCUGUUCGAGCGUCAUUUCAACCCUCAAGACCCCUUCGGGGGACUUGGUGUUGGGGACCGGCACAGGGGCCUGCCUGCUUGUCUUGCAGCGCCCUCGCCGCCCCCGAAAUGAAUUGGCGGCCUCGUCGCGGCCUCCCCUGCGUAGUAGCACAAACCUCGCAACGGGAACGUGACGGCGGCCACUGCCGUAAAACAACCCAAUUUUAUUAGAGUUGACCUCGAAUCAGGUAGGAAUACCCGCUGAACUUAAGCAUAUCAAUAAGCGGAGGA
rnacentral:misc_RNA from 1 species